UGGAACGUAGCUUAGUGGCAGAGCAACUGUGUUAACCAGAAAUUGACUGAUAAAGUCAAUAGCGAUGGUUCGAAUCCAUCCGUUCCGA
rnacentral:tRNA from 1 species